UACGAAGGGGGCUAGCGUUGUUCGGAAUUACUGGGCGUAAAGGGCGCGUAGGCGGUCCUGAUCGUCGGAUGUGAAAGGCCUGGGCUCAACCUGGGAACUGCAUCCGAUACGGCGGGACUGGAGUGUGGGAGAGGUUGGUGGAAUUCCCAGUGUAGAGGUGAAAUUCGUAGAUAUUGGGAAGAACACCGGUGGCGAAGGCGGCCAACUGGACCACAACUGACGCUGAGACACGAAAGCGUGGGUAGCAAACAGG
rnacentral:rRNA from 1 species